CAUGCUAGUUGUGCGAGUUCAUACUCGCAGCGUAUAGCUCAGUAACACGUGGCCAAACUACCCUACAGACAGGAACAACCUCGGGAAACUGAGGCUAACACCUGAUACGCGUUGACUGUUUGAAUACAUCGACGUUCAAACGCUCCGGCGCUGUAGGAUGUGGCUGCGGCCGAUUAGGUAGACGGUGGGGUAACGGCCCACCGUGCCGAUAAUCGGUACGGGUUGUGAGAGCAAGAGCCCGGAGACGGAAUCUGAGACAAGAUUCCGGGCCCUACGGGGCGCAGCAGGCGCGAAACCUUUACACUGCACGCCAGUGCGAUAAGGGAACCCCGAGUGAAAGGGCAUAUCGCCCUUUCUUUUCUGAACCGUAGGGAGGUUCAGGAACAAGAGCUGGGCAAGACCGGUGCCAGCCGCCGCGGUAAUACCGGCAGCUCAAGUGAUGACCGAUUUUAUUGGGCCUAAAGCGUCCGUAGCUGGCCGCGCAAGUCUGUCGGGAAAUCCACCCGCUUAACGGGUGGGCGUCCGGCGGAAACUGUGCGGCUUGGGACAGGAAGGCUCGAGGGGUACGUUCGGGGUAGGAGUGAAAUCCCGUAAUCCUGAACGGACCACCGAUGGCGAAAGCACCUCGAGAGGACUGAUCCGACAGUGAGGGACGAAAGCUGGGGUCUCGAACCGGAUUAGAUACCCGGGUAGUCCCAGCCGUAAACGAUGUUCGCUAGGUGUGACACUCACUACGAGUGAGUGUUGUGCCGCAGGGAAGCCGCUAAGCGAACCGCCUGGGAAGUACGUCCGCAAGGAUGAAAC
rnacentral:rRNA from 1 species